CCCACCUGUCUGACUCGAGUUAUUUUUUUCCCAUGUCUGGACAAGACUGACCUCUGCCCAGCAACUCAGGCCUGGAUUUAGUCCAAGGGCCCUCAGUGGCUUUUUUUGUUUGUUUGUUUUUUCAGGAAGUGAAGAAUUUAGAGGGAUAAAAGGCGGAAAUAACUUUUCAGCCUCUGACCUUUGUAACAAUCUGGUUUCCUUUUAAAGGAGCAUUGUUUGGGCCUGGGGCCACCUAGACCUUCUGAUGCUCUUUCCCCACCCUUGGAGGAGGAGGAAAGGAAGAAAAUGGGCCCUGAGCGAUCACCACAUACCAGGCCCUGGGGGUCUAGUGGCGAAGGAGGCAGGUAGGGUCUCUGCUUUCAUGGAGCUUCUAGUCAAGCGAGACACACUAAACAGUAAAGGGACAAAUAGGAUUACUGGAGGUAGCCCUAACUACUGGGACAGAAACAAGAUGGUAAGAUAGAGAAGGAAGAGUGGCCUGCUCAGAUGGGGUGGUCCAGAGGCCUCUCGGGGGAGGUGACUCCUUUUUAUUUUAUUUUUUUUGAGAUGGAAUCUAGCUCUGUCGCCCAGCCUGAAGUGCAGUCGUGUGUUUCAUGCGCGUCCGUGUGAAGAGACCACCAAAUAGGCUUUGUGUGAGCAACAUGGCUGUUUAUUUCACCUGGGUGCAGGCGGGCUGAGUCCGAAAAGAGAGUCAGCAAAGGGUGGUGGAUUAUCAUUAGUUCUUACAGGUUUUGGGAUAGGGGGUGAAGAGCCAUGUUUGCAGGCAGGGGUG
rnacentral:lncRNA from 1 species